CCCCUGCUCUUUGCAGGACCUCCCUGACCACCCUUCCCCUGAGGCUGGCCCCUAUGUGCCCUGUUUGCUCUCCUUGACAUAUAAACUCAAGUUUGCAGACAAGACAAGCUGGUUCUGUGUGCUGUUCUGUGGGAAGCCAGAACUCACCUGCUUGUAGGCCCCACACUGACCUGCAGUGCCUUCGGAUCCUCAGAGGUGGCCUUCACUAACUUGUUCCUCCCACCGUGGCAAGGACUGGACUGGGUCUGAUUGCAACAAGGAGACUGGGCUGUGGAGCCAGGAUGGACAAAGGAGCAGAGAGCUCCACAGUUUGCAGUGAGAAAGUGAGUAAGCCAGAUCAGUCCUGCUGGUGAAGGCAAGCCCUGCCCGCUCUGAGGAAGCCCACGCCGUCUUCCGGGAUCUCUAAGCCUUGCUCUGGGAACUUCUGAGGAUCAGUGAGAGUCAGGUGUUGCCCAUGUAGGGCUAGGCUGGACCCAGUCCUCCCUCACUUCCAUCUGGUCCUCAUGCCUGCUGAGCGCUCUUCCUGGCAGCAGGGUUGAGAGUACUGGAGCAGUGGGAUCUCCUCGUAUCCUCAUCGUGUCCAUAGGCUCAUGUCUAGGCGGAGCUGGGCCAAGCCACAAGUUUCCUCAAGGAAGGUGGAGAAGACUGCUCCAAUACAAUUAUCAGAAUGUGCUCGCCUAGCUGGCAGUGCUGAGAUCGGGGCGGCCCAUUUCUGCCUGGAUGCCUGCUGGGAGGAGUUGGCAUGGCAACAUGAGCUCUGAGCUGCUGAAACUUGGAGUCAGCUCGUGGCUGGGAGGACACAAAGAACAACGGAAGAGGAUGCCUUUCUGAGUGAAGCAGGUCAGACAAAUCCGGGCUAAUCCCUGCAAGCCAAGUCCCAGAAGCAGACCUGGGGACUGGGGUCCAGUGUCCACACAUGUGCUUAGCAACGCCUUCUGCCGACACAGCGGUGCCAGGACGGGACUGGAGCAGGCAGUUGUGACUACUGGAGAGACCACGUGCGAACAGCCGAGCGUCUGGAUGGGCCUGGGCUCUGAGCCUUCUGGGUGCUGAGGUCUACACCUGAGCCUCACCUGGCAAGUGGCCAGAAGCUGGGGAUCCUGGAAUUCCCCAGCAGGUCACGUCACCUGCCUCAGGUGAGCCCUGGGGUAUCUGCUGCGUGACUGACUGAGUACCA